UAUUCUGGGCAACCUCACUGAUGUCUCACAAGUCACAAUAACCUCAUAACUCCAGUUAAACUCGAUUUUGUGACUUUUUCGUAUUCUAACGAAAACCUCACAGUCACAAGAACCUCAUAAGGUGUGGUGAGUUUGAUUUUGUGAGGUUUUUCGAAUUCUGGCGUACCCUCACAACUUGUGAGCCUCAUAAAAAUUGUAAAAAUUGUGAUCUCCUUCAGAGCAGGUCACAACUCACAAAUUACUAGAAUUUUGACAUUUUUUAUGUCCAUAAAAUGUUUUGAGAACAAAUAAUUUUAGUUUUUUUAUUUGAAACUCAGGACUAUCGUCACAGUAGCUUUUGCUGUAUCGAAAUCAAAUUCUCAUUGAAUCUGGAAAAAAGCCUUCAAUCAGGUUAACACUAUCAAGAGCAAGUGCUCUCCUAAACAGUACGAGACGAACAAAAUAAGCCCAGAGUGGGCAACGUUAUUUUUGACCCAGCAUUAGGAUUUCAUGCGUGAGACUCAAACACCGUUGAAAGAAAGAAUUUACAAACUAGCUGCCAGUCCAGUGGACUGGUUGGUUACAAGAAACACAAAGCUGUGGAAGACAUCGAUUCUGACAAUUGUCCACCAUCUGUGCUGAAGAAGCUUUCCAAUAAACAAAGUAAUGCUUAAAAACCUGCGUCAAGCCACCGAAGUUGGUGUCAAUCGCAAACAACAUAAAAAGACUAUAUAGCAAAACGCUUAAAAUCAGCAGCGGCAACAUCAUCGACAAGUGCGCAUACAACAAUUACAACAACUUCAGUAUAUCAGCCCCAAACACCGAAUAUAAUAAACAGAGUCUAAUGACGUCCGCAGUUGAAGUUCCUUAGCCUAAUUGGCAAUUUUUAGUCAUCACAGGUUGACACAAUAAAUCAACAGGCCAAAAUCAGCCUCCAGUUGACCACAAGAUACAAAUAAGGCCAAUUGUCAAUGAUUCAGGCCUUUAAAUCAUUCCACACUACAACGGCCAACUCACAAUCAUCACCCACGGCAACAGUAGCAACAUCAGCAAUAGCAACAAGAAGCCAAUGCCAAAGCAUUAGCGUAUGCACUUAUGCAGCCAUAAUGCAACUACCAGACCAUAAGCAAUACCCCAAGUUCCGCAAACACUGUGUGUCUCAAUUUUGUUUUUACCGAUCUCAAAUUCACCAAAAGAUCACCAAUCGCAGACUCUGUUGAAAAAUUUAAUUUGUUUUGAUUUACAAAAAUCUUUCCUAAAUU